GGGACACGUGGUAUCCUGUCUGAAUAUGGGGGGACCAUCCUCCAAGGCUAAAUACUCCUGACUGACCGAUAGUGAACCAGUACCGUGAGGGAAAGGCGAAAAGAACCCCGGCGAGGGGAGUGAAAAAGAACCUGAAACCGUGUACGUACAAGCAGUGGGAGCCUCUUUAUGGGGUGACUGCGUACCUUUUGUAUAAUGGGUCAGCGACUUAUAUUCUGUAGCAAGGUUAACCGAAUAGGGGAGCCGAAGGGAAACCGAGUCUUAACUGGGCGUUAAGUUGCAGGGUAUAGACCCGAAACCCGGUGAUCUAGCCAUGGGCAGGUUGAAGGUUGGGUAACACUAACUGGAGGACCGAACCGACUAAUGUUGAAAAAUUAGCGGAUGACUUGUGGCUGGGGGUGAAAGGCCAAUCAAACCGGGAGAUAGCUGGUUCUCCCCGAAAGCUAUUUAGGUAGCGCCUCGUGAAUUCAUCUCCGGGGGUAGAGCACUGUUUCGGCAAGGGGGUCAUCCCGACUUACCAACCCGAUGCAAACUGCGAAUACCGGAGAAUGUUAUCACGGGAGACACACGGCGGGUGCUAACGUCCGU
rnacentral:rRNA from 1 species